GAACUGUUUCCUCUUAUGCAAAUAGUCCAGUUAUAUAUAGGGGAGGACUUUGACGGACUAUUCCAGUACGAUUUUCAACAGUCCCGAAAAACCGCGGUUCAUUAUGAUUGGAAAAAUCCAGAUUUAUUCGCUGGUGGUGAUGGCGGUGAUGAUCUUCAUGAUGACGCUAUCUCCGGUGUCUGGAGGCGGUCCCUUGCAGCCGCCCCAGUGCAUCCUCUGCCGCAGCCGAGAAGACAGCGCGUCAAGCGAGUCAGGAAGCUCAUCAUCGAGCUCAUCCGCAAGCUCGAGCGAAUCGCGUUGAGUAUAUCAAAGUCCCGUACUUAUUUCGAAGGGGAAAGAACUCGGAAUUUCAUUUGACUAUUGUUCGUUUUAAUGUUUAAAUGAUAAAUUCUAGUGUUACUAGUUGAGCAUAAUCAAGAGCAUUGUAAUCGUGUUCAAGGGAAUAAAUUACUCGGCUAAGAACAUUAUGGUUGUUUUCGUAUUACAUUUAUUUAUUAUUUUAUGACAGCAACAACAAUAUUUAUAUGGUGACCGAAAUGUGAUGGAAAAACUUAAGGAAAUGGGUAGAAAACUCGAUUGGAUUUCUAUUCAAUUUUCAGCUUUAAUAGAGAAUACAAAAGUAGAUGAAAUGUAAAUUAAUAAACAAUAAUAAUAGUAGUGAAAAUAUAUUACAAAUAAUCCACAGUCUUUCAGUUGCGUCCUGAUUUAUUUAUUUAUUGCUACACUAUUUUUUCAAGUGAAUAAAAUUUCUAUUUCCUCUCCAAUUUUGAAAGUGCGAUUUCUGAAUACGGAAUAAUUGGCCAGGUCUUAAAUUACUGUUAUUUUUUUCUCAGCAACAGAAAACAAUUAUUUGCCAUUCAUUAUUAUUCAUAUAUAAUGAGCUACGACUGUUUGCAUUGUCUGGUUUUCCUGCUAAAAAUUCAUGGCAAGUGUUUACCAUUAUCGAAUCUCAUUUCCAACUCCACUAUCUCGACACUUUAACAAACCUCCGCUGAAUUAUGAUUGAGUUAUCCUUCCCGACGAUGGUUUACCAUCAGCUCAAUAUUUUUUUUGGAGGCAAAUACAGCGGAGGUAUAUAAAACCGCGAUGCCAGAUUUUCGUAUUCAGUGCAGCUUAAUGAAGAAUUAUUGGGAGUGAUAAGGAAUUAAAAUGAAGAAGUGUGAGGUUUUCAGUUGGAUUGUGAUAAUGGCGUUUGUAUUUUUGGCAGCUCUAGUCUCAGUCGAAGGACUACCCGCACGUGGUCCCCCCAUGUGCAUCCUUUGCCGGUGAUGGGCAUGAACUACGUAUUUUUCGAAGGAUAAAUUCGAUUUUUAUCGUGAAAUAAAAAAUUUUGUGUCGCCUAACAAUUGAAAAAACAAACAAAUAAAAAAGGAUUUACUAUUGAAAUUUUUUUUUGUCAAUUUUUUUUGGUGGCAACUUUUUAGCUGAUCCUAGAAUUAUUUACAACAUUUACUGGUUUAAAAUGUGGUGUUAAAAUAAUGCACAGGAUGUUUCAACUCGUGAUAUCUCGAAACGGGAAGGAAUAUCUGAAUGAGAAGAUAGAGCAGGAAAAUUAUCGAAUGGCAUUGAGGUAACAGAAUGCACAUCAAUAAUGUUCAUUCAUGAUUAAUCAAUUGUUUACGAUCAUUAUUAAUGAUCAUCGAGGUGUAUCUCUACCACCUUCUGCUCGUGGAAACAUUUCAGUCGCAAUCAAGGACUUCACCUUACAACUUCUCAAAGUGCGAUAGAACAGUCUCUGUGAAGAGGACAAUUUUCGUCAUGGCAAAGGCACAGAUCUUGGCUCUAAUGCUGAUGGUGGUGAUCACCUUCCUGGCAGCGCUGAUGCCAGUUGAAGGCCUAGCACCGCAGAAUCCCCCCCAGUGUAUUCUGUGCCGAAACGGAUAGGAAUGGAUCGGGUUUCUCUCAUGUAUCGAUUAUAAACGGAAAUUAAUGAUGUUCUAUGAUUUAUUCGUUCUCCUCACAAUUGUUCAGUUGAAUAAAAAAAAUUACUUUCAAGAAUUA